rnacentral:tRNA from 1 species
GCGAUUAUAGGUUAUACUAAACCGUUGGCCUUCAAAGCCAGAGAAGGGCUAAGUCCCGAAUCGAG